GCCAGGCAUGGUGGUGCAUGCCUGUAAUCUCAGCCUCUCAGGAGGCUGAGGCAGGAGGAUGGCAAAUUCAAGGCCAGCCUCAGCAAUUU
rnacentral:sRNA from 1 species